GAAUAGCUCAGUCAGUAGAGCGUAAGGCUCUUAAUCUCAGGGUUGUGGGUUCGAGCCCCACGUUGAGCA